GAUGAACGCUAGCGGCAGGCCUAAUACAUGCAAGUCGAACGGUGUAGCAAUACAUAGUGGCGCACGGGUGCGUAACACGUAUGCAACCUACCUUAUACUGGGGGAUAGCCUUUGGAAACGGAGAUUAACACCCCAUAGUACAUUUAGAUGGCAUCAUUUGAAUGUUAAAGAUUUAUCGGUAUAAGCUGGGCAUGCGUCCAAUUAGUUAGUUGGUGAGGUAACGGCUCACCAAGACUUUGAUUGGUAGGGGAACUGAGAGGUUAAUCCCCCACACUGGCACUGAGAUACGGGCCAGACUCCUACGGGAGGCAGCAGUAGGGAAUAUUGGGCAAUGGAGGCAACUCUGACCCAGCCAUGCCGCGUGCAGGAAGAAGGCGUUAUGCGUUGUAAACUGCUUUUAUAUAGGAAGAAAUAGUCCUUGCGAGGAAAGUUGACGGUACUAUAUGAAUAAGCACCGGCUAACUCCGUGCCAGCCGCCGCGGUAA
rnacentral:rRNA from 1 species